AGUUGAGGUAGUUGGAGACCUGUGGGGAGCAAGUCCUGUCUUCUGCCACCACCGUGGCUCUUCCUACAGUGGCCUGCUCAGAGUAGCUGUCCUAGGAGCCAUGGGGAGGGUAACAAGGAAUAUGGUUCCUCACCCACUGCCUGUCCGAAGCCUGGGCCUUGGGCCCUACUAGUCAGCCUUCCUGCUUACAAGGUCCUUCUGGCAUCAAACUCAGAUGAACUUGGGAUCCCAUGUGGAUGGAGACCACGUCUGUUUUGUUCACCAGUGUACCCUGACACCUGCCACUACCGAUAGACGUUUGUUGAACGAAUGAAUGGAGCUUUCCUGACCCUCUAACACAGAUGGGAUCUCGGGUCCUCAUCGUGUUCUCUCUGCAUCAUGAUGCGUGGACUGCCUCACCCUUCUGACUAGCCUGGGCUCCUGGCAGCUUUCUCUUUGGCUGUCCCCCCAGACUUGAUGAGUCCAGCUCAGAGGACUACAGGAGCACUUGUGUGUUGAUAAAUGAGAAAUGAAUGAAAAGCUAUCUCAUCACCACUGGUUUGAUAAAGUCCAAAU